rnacentral:lncRNA from 1 species
UAAAUAAAUAAAUCGUUCUGAGGAGGGCCCAUAUCCGGGCCGAAACGUUAACAAAAAAUACGUUUACAUAAUAAUUGACCGAUCACCAAGAUUCAAUAGAAGUUUACAUACGAGGUCGAAAAUUCCUACACUUCAUAUAAUAACCUGCGGUGAAAAAUACAUGAUUAAUGAAGUGAGCACAAAGUAUCCGGAAGAUAUCGUUCACCGUUUUAUUCAAGCAUCGCGUUAUAUGUCUCCCAAGAUGAAAGUAUAAUGUUGCGGAAGAAGUUAUCGAAGAGAAGAGUGAACUUGAAUAUCUGAUGUAUGUACAACGUGCGUACGGUUUCUUCGAAGAAUCACAAAUUAAUUGCUGAUAUUCCGCAAGAGCCGAGCGACAGCAACCAAAUGCAAGGUUUUAGCAAUAAAUUUAUGCUGGCAAUGGCGAUGAAUAUUCAAAACCCUGCAAAUUUUUUAGUAUUGCGCUGGAUUUUUUGCCGCUCCAUUAUCAUGCUCUUACUCAGGUGGAUCUAACAAUAAAUACUGGAUUCCCCCCU